GUCUCCGGCCAUCCUUGGGGAUUCUCUGUCUGGCAUUAAGUUGUCGGGCAGAGGAUCCUCAUCGUUUACUGUGAAAAAAUUAGAGUGUUCAAAGCAGGCUUAUGCCGUUGAAUAUAUUAGCAUGGAAUAAUAAGAUAGGACUUUGGUACUAUUUUGUUGGCUUGCGCACCAAAGUAAUGAUUAAUAGGGACAGUUGGGGGUAUUCGUAUUCCGUUGUCAGAGGUGAAAUUCUUGGAUUUACGGAAGACGAACUACUGCGAAAGGAUUUACCUUGGAUGUUUUCAUUAAUCAAGAACGAAAGUUAGGGGAUCGAAGAUGAUCAGAUACCAUCGUAGUCUUAACCAUAAACUAUGCCGACUCGGGAUUGGCGGGCGUUUCUUUUUUGACCCCGUCAGCACCGUAUGUGAAAACAAAGUCUUU
rnacentral:rRNA from 1 species